rnacentral:lncRNA from 1 species
AUCCAAUGAGACUGCUCAGUUACUAAGGUCACGAACAUAGUAAUCUAAUGAUAUCGGCCAGCCAUAGCCUACAAAGACUGUAGGCUAUGGUGUGAACUAAUAGGAAUUGAAUGAAAAAGGAACAACCAUUAUGUUCAAGUUAAAAUCAACAGCACAGACAGAAGGAGACAUACCAAAAACCGAACAUGCUGAUCGUUCUCAGGCAGAAGGAGAAACACAAUCAGCCAAAGUUGCAGGUUAUUUAUUGAGAGCCCUUGCACAUGCCACAAACCCAGAUAUACAGCUAACAGCUGAUAAUGUGAAAGAUGACAUAAUCAUUGCCCCGCGGGACAUCAAUUUUUCAAACCCCCAUA